GUUCACUGCUAUAAAUAUCCCUGAGGACAGCUUUCAUUCCGUCCCACUGGGUCCGCAAUAGGUAAUUGAUAACAAGGAUCGAUAACUACCAUUGGAGUGUUACCAUCACGAAAUACUUGAAAUGUUUAAUGGGCUUGACCCUACAUUAGUGGCAAGAGGACGCUCGAACAGUGUAUUGCUUCAUCAGACUCUGAGGCCAAAUGCUGAAAAUGAUGUGAAAUGCUUGCCCAUCCAUAACAAAAAACUGACAAGCAAAAGCUGGACAAAUAAAUUGAAGACAACAAUAUGCAAUGUAACAACCACUGAUGAAUUCCUA